rnacentral:rRNA from 1 species
CCUACGGGGGGCUGCAGUGGGGAAUAUUGCACAAUGGGCGCAAGCCUGAUGCAGCCAUGCCGCGUGUGUGAAGAAGGCCUUCGGGUUGUAAAGCACUUUCAGCGGGGAGGAAGGCGGCGAGGUUAAUAACCUCAUCGAUUGACGUUACCCGCAGAAGAAGCACCGGCUAACUCCGUGCCAGCAGCCGCGGUAAUACGGAGGGUGCAAGCGUUAAUCGGAAUUACUGGGCGUAAAGCGCACGCAGGCGGUCUGUCAAGUCGGAUGUGAAAUCCCCGGGCUCAACCUGGGAACUGCAUUCGAAACUGGCAGGCUAGAGUCGUGUAGAGGGGGGUAGAAUUCCAGGUGUAGCGGUGAAAUGCGUAGAGAUCUGGAGGAAUACCGGUGGCGAAGGCGGCCCCCUGGACAAAGACUGACGCUCAGGUGCGAAAGCGUGGGGAGCAAACAGGAUUAGAUACCCGAGUAGUC